GGCGCUAUGGCCGAGUGGUUAAGGCGACAGAUUAGAAUCGAUUCCAUCAGGAUUUGAACCGUAUCUGUUCCGGUUUCCGGGCGCAGGUUCAAAUCCUGCUGGCGUCG